GACGAACGCUGGCGGCGUGCUUAACACAUGCAAGUCGAGCGGUAAGGCUCCUUCGGGCGUACACGAGCGGCGAACGGGUGAGUAACACGUGAGCAAUCUGCCCAUCACGUUGGGAUAACUCCGGGAAACCGAAGCUAAUACCGAAUACGACCACUUCCGGCAUCGGCUGGUGGGGGAAAGUUCCGGCGGUGAAGGAUGAGCUCGCGGCCUAUCAGCUUGUUGGGGGGGUAAUGGCCCACAAAGGCAACGACGGGUAGCCGGCCUGAGAGGGUGACCGGCCACACUGGGACUGAGACACGGCCCAGACUCCUACGGGAGGCAGCAGUGGGGAAUAUUGGACAAUGGGCGAAAGCCUGAUCCAGCAACGCCGCGUGAGGGAUGACGGCCUUCGGGUUGUAAACCUCUUUCAGCAGGGACGAAGCGCAAGUGACGGUACCUGCAGAAGAAGCACCGGCCAACUACGUGCCAGCAGCCGCAGUAAAAC
rnacentral:rRNA from 1 species